AACCCAGCAUUGUCCCCAGUGGGGUAGCAGUAGCCUCCCUUUUCUUGAGAAGGACAGCAGAGAAACAGCCGUUAGUUCCCAGUUCUUGGAAGGCUGAUGUGGGAGGAUCACCUGAACCCAGGAAUUUGAGGCUGCAAGUGAGCUAGGAUUGCACCACUGCACUCCAGCUUGGGUGAUAGAGCGACAGUGUCUCUAAAAAAAAUUAAGUUCCAGCCGGGUGCGGUGACUCACGCCUGUAAUCCCAGCACUUUGGGAGGCCAAGGCAGGCAGAUCACCAGAGGUCAGGAGUUCGAGACCAGCCUGGCCAACGUGGCAAAACCCUGUCUCUACUAAAAAUACAAAAAUUAGCCGGGUGUAGUGGUGCAUGCCUGUAGGCCCAGCUACUCCGGAGGCUGAGGCAGGAGAAUUGCUUGAACCCCGGAGGUGGAGGUUGCAGUGAGCCAAGAUCAUGCCAUUGCACUCCAGCCUGGGUGACAAGAGUGAAACUCUGUCUCAGAAAUAAAUAAAUAAAUAAAUAAAGUUCCCAGUUCUCUGCUGUUAAUAAGGGCCUUUGUCCACUGUGCCAGGCCUCAAGGUUGUUAGUUACCUCAGUGGGCAGACUCAUAAGAUGGCCCCAGCACCCCUCACCUCCUGGUAUUGACACCCUUGUAUGACCCCUCCCCGUGAGCUUUGGCUGUACCUGGUGGCCUGCUUCUAACCAACCGGCAAAGGUGAUGGAAUGUCACCCCAUGACUAGGUCACAAAAGGGUAUGACUUCAGUCUCUCUGGCACUCUCUGUUGCCUUCUUGGCAUGGAUGCUCUGAUGAAGUCAGCUGCCAUGUUGGAGAGGCCCACAUGGCGAGGACAUAAAGGCGGCCUCUGGCCAACAGGCAGUGAGAACUGAGGCUCUCAGUCCAGCAGGCCAUGAGGAACUGGAUCCUGCCAACACCACCAAUGAACAUGAACUAUUCAGGGGAAGAUUGUUAAAUGAAAGAAUCUCACUGGGCGGGGAGCCAAGCAUGACACCUGGCGACCUGCCUGUGCCUGUCCCGCCAAGAAGAGAGAAGAGGCCUUGAAAGCAGCCAGAGGGGGUGCACACCAGCCUGGGCAGGGGGCAGUAAGUGGGAGCAGCCCCGACCCAAGACCAGGUGGGAUGCACGCCGGGUGGGGCUGGAAAAGAAGGAAACCCUGACGCAGACCCCAGGGGGAAAUGAGGAGCAGUCGAGCAACUGGAGAGCAGAGGAGGCUCUUUGGUGGCCCCCAGCCCCACCCCUGAGAGGGCUGAGAGAGGAGCAGGUGUGAGGGCAAAACAGGCAGGAACCUUCCAGAGAAGAAAGCCAGGAGCUGGUAAAGAGCACGGGCCCAGCUGCAGACAGAAACCUUUCCCGUCUCAUAUGAUGGCUGAGGCGCAGGACAGCGGCGGGGGCGCGUCCUCCUUCAUCUGUCCUGUUUCCUUAGGUUCUAGGUGCACCGCUGGUAAGGAGCUUCUUAUGUGGGGUCUUUGACAACCCUCGUUUUUAAACUAGAGCAUUUCCUUCAUUAAUAUUAACUGUAAUCAUUGA